rnacentral:lncRNA from 1 species
GGCGACAUUGUUGGUACCAGGGGGGUAUGGUUCGAAGAGUAUAACACAGCGGAAUAAAACUAAGAGUAGCGUAUAAGCGUGUUCGGUCACCUUUUUAAAACAAGUUGGUCCUUUUUCGAAAAACAAUUUUCUUUCAGAAAAUUUAUCGAACAGUUAAUAUGCGUAAAAUGAAAUGAGUGUAGGGAAUAGAAAAAUCACACAAGUAUUUUUAUACUGGUUCGAUUCAACAGAAUCUACGUCCAGCCGUUAAUCACUAUAAAUAGUGAUUAACAAUUCCACUAAAAAUAUGUUUCUCAUAUUACAAUUAUAGUGAAUGAAAGAC